rnacentral:rRNA from 1 species
AACGCGAAGAACCUUACCUACUCUUGACAUCCACGGAACCUGGCAGAGAUGCUGGGGUGCCUUCGGGAACCGUGAGACAGGUGCUGCAUGGCUGUCGUCAGCUCGUGUCGUGAGAUGUUGGGUUAAGUCCCGUAACGAGCGCAACCCUUAUUCUUAGUUGCCAGUGGGUAAAGCCGGGAACUCUAGGAAGACUGCCGGUGACAAGCCGGAGGAAGGUGGGGACGACGUCAAGUCAUCAUGGCCCUUACGAGUAGGGCUACACGCGUGUUACAAUGGACGGUACAAAUGGAAGCGAAACCGUGAGGUGGAGCGAAUCUAAUCAAAGCCGUUCGUAGUCCGGAUUGGAGUCUGCAACUCGACUCCAUGAAGUUGGAAUCGCUAGUAAUCGUGGAUCAGAACGCCACGGUGAAUACGUUCUCGGGCCUUGUACACGCCGCUACAGU